ensembl:lncRNA novel transcript
CUCAGAAGCAAUGAGUUCUGGUUAAAAAAAAGGGCUCGAUAGACGGAAAAAAUGAAGGCUUAAAGAACUGACAACAAAAUAUUAACAUUUGGCUUGUGGAAUUCUUACACUCUCGUAAGCAGAAAAAACAAAUGUUAUGGCAAAAAAGUGUCUCAGACAAAUCCGUCUUGGGGGGAAAAAAAUUAAAAGAAUGAGAAAAACAGACUUCGGAAUAAAUAGACCCAAAGGAGGAAGUAUUGAAAAUGGCAAGAUUCACUUUUACAAACUUAUUUGGAACCACGGCAGAUGGCCAGGGCAGGGAUUUUGCAAGGCAGCUCCAGUUGAGCAGUUGAUUUCUCACCGCCCACCCCCGACCCCACCACUAUUGAUCAUGAGGUGCUUUGAGGGGUCCGGGUUUGGAGGACUGAAACACCGUGGGAUCUUGGAACAGCUCUUCCUUGUUGGUGAUCCCUUAUUAAGAAGCCCUCCAGCCUGACAAUGCUGAAGCCCUGGAGGUUGGAGCCACUCAGGAUUGGAUGCUCCACGAAGCCCUCACCAGAACAGAUGCUGGCACCAUGCUUCCUGUACAGCCCACAAACUGCAAG